AUUCAAAUGAGGAAGGGCUUACAGUGGAGACCUAGGCACCCAAAGACGAGGAAGGGCAUGGUAAGCGAUGAAAUGCUUCGGGGAGUUGAAAAUGAGCAUAGAUCCGGAGAUUCCUGAAUAGGUUAACCUUUUUAACUGCUGCUGAAUCCAUGGGCAGGCAAGAGACAACUUGGCGAACUGAAACAUCUUAGUAGCCAGAGGAAUAUAAAGCAAAAGCGAUUCCCGUAGUAGCGGCGAACGAAAUGGGAGCAGCCUAAACCGUGAAAACGGGGUUGUGGGAGAGCACAAUAUAAGCUUUGUGCUUCUAGGCGAAGCGGUUGAGUCCUGCACCCUAGAUGGUGAGAGUCCAGUAGCCAAAAGAAUCAUUGGGUUACACUCUAACCCGAGUAGCAUGGGGCACGUGGAAUCCCAUGUGAAU
rnacentral:ncRNA from 1 species